CACCGGCCUCCUUAGCUCCUCCGGCUCCGCAAGCAUCUUGCCAGAGCACCGAAUCAGGCGUGCCUUCGCCCUUCCCUCUCGUUUCCCUUUCUCCUUCUGUAGCUCUCUCUCACGGCUUCUCUCCCUCGUGCUCUUCUUGCUGCAGGAGCAGCCGUGGACGCCGUGUCGCAAGCAGCAGCCGCCGCCGGCUUCCUCCGUCCCGUCCCAAAUACUGAACCUGGAGCCCCGAUGCCCGCCUCUCUGCCUCGCAGGAGUCACCACCGUGUUGUGUUGUUGGACAGGAGUCGAGCCGUCACCGUCCCGUCGUCAGACCCCCAUCCAUGCCGCUCCUCGCCGUUGUCAACUUCCGGCGCUCUGCCAACGAGAGUUCCGGCCUCUGCUUUGAGCAGAGGAGGACGCCCGCGUCUCGCCACACCUCGACGCCGGCGCGCCUCCACAGCUACACCGGCCAGAUCCUUACAUGGGAGCCCCGUCCCCGAUCCCUUCUUCAAGCAUGGCCGUCGCCCGUCUUCUUUAGGCACGAGCUCCAUCGGGUCCGCCUCCCUGCUGUUGGAGCCCCACAACCCCAGCGCUUCGGACGAACCAGGGACGAACGCCUCGCUGGAGCUCCGCAGGGGCUCAUCGCGCGCCGACCGUCCCGAGCUCCAAUCCGCGACUCCCCUUGCUGGAUUUGAACCCAGGCACCUCCCCGCGCUCAGUUCCGCCCGUUCCGGCCGGUUCCCGUCGACCCUGUUGCCAAGACCCUUGUCGUUGUCUUCUCCAUUGCCAUGGCUCUGCUCCUGUUCUGUUUCUUCAGGAACGAGAACAGCAGUAGCUCGUCUCGCAAGCGUCGACCGAGGAGAGGGCUAGCAGGCCCAGGUGCGCCCCCUGCUGGCCUCCCCUCUCCACCAGCCGGGCCUUGGCCCAUGUGUGCAGCGCCCAGCCCCUAUCCUGUAUUUGUUGGGCUAGGUGGUUUCAGCCCAUGGACAUAUUUUUUCCCCUGAACGAAUUUGUCUUUUAUUCCAGAGAA